UACGGGGGGGGCAAGCGUUGUUCGGAAUUAUUGGGCGUAAAGGGCUCGUAGGCGGCCAACUAAGUCAGACGUGAAAUCCCUCGGCUCAACCGGGGAACUGCGUCUGAUACUGGAUGGCUUGAAUCCGGGAGAGGGAUGUGGAAUUCCAGGUGUAGCGGUGAAAUGCGUAGAUAUCUGGAGGAACACCGGUGGCGAAGGCGGCAUCCUGGACCGGUAUUGACGCUGAGGAGCGAAAGCCAGGGGAGCAAAGCGGG
rnacentral:rRNA from 1 species